GACGAACGCUGGCGGCGUGCUUAACACAUGCAAGUCGAGCGGUAAGGCCCCUUCGGGGGUACACGAGCGGCGAACGGGUGAGUAACACGUGGGUGACCUGCCCUCAGCUCUGGGAUAAGCCUGAGAAACUGGGUCUAAUACCGGAUAUGACUCCAUGACGCAUGUCGUGGGGUGGAAAGCCUUGUGCGGCUGGGGAUGGGCCCGCGGCCUAUCAGCUUGUUGGUGGGGUGAUGGCCUACCAAGGCGACGACGGGUAGCCGGCCUGAGAGGGCGACCGGCCACACUGGGACUGAGACACGGCCCAGACUCCUACGGGAGGCAGCAGUGGGGAAUCUUGCGCAAUGGGCGAAAGCCUGACGCAGCGACGCCGCGUGAGGGAUGACGGCCU
rnacentral:rRNA from 1 species